rnacentral:lncRNA from 1 species
GAGACUCCUUUCAAACUGGUAUUUGGGAUCAAAGCCAUGACCCCAGUUGAAAUCGACCUAUCCUUAACUCGAAUAGAACAUUACGACGAACUGACCAAUUCGGACAAGCGAUGAGCUGAUUUGGCUUGCUCGAUGAAACCCAGAUAUGAGCUCAACUAAGGAUGGCCUCUUAUCAAUAGAGGAUAUUUCGGUAUUAUAAUU